GAGGCGAUACAAUUAUGGAGAAAGGAGGAGGGGUAAACCUCUUAUAGCUACACAAAUGUUGUUCGGUUAAAAGCAAAAUACAAAUUUAUAACUGACAAUAUAAAAAGCCCCGUUCUUUAUUGUAGAUUUAAAUUUUAAUUCGAGCAAAUUCGAGCUACAACACGUCCUCAUCAGCUUCUAACAUUGGAGAUGUACUACGAGUCAGCUGUUCAUUACUAGUGAACGCCUCAUAUUUUCGAGCACCUUCUUGACUAUUCGAGCGGUUCCAAGCAGUGCUGUUUUCUGCAAGUGUUACACCCUUAUUGCAACCCCUAUUUGUUCCACUGUUCCCAAGGCUCAGACAAAUAUUGGUACUACUAUUACCUUUUUCAUCGACCACAACUGCUUAACCUUCCAAGUCAUCUAACCGCGGCCAUGCUGGAACACUGCCUUCAAGAAUUUUUCAGUCGAAUGAAUCACACCCAGCACUUAUUUUUUUGUAAGCCUUCUACUUACUCUAUCUGUCUAAUGGCAAAUGAAACGGGAGGAAACUGAGAAGAGACUCUUGAGUUUUGGUCUUGUAUGAAAUAACAAGUAUUUAGUAAGAUCCUUCCGGAGCCGCACACUUUAUUCACCGUUCUUUCUAUUCAUGGAAGCAUUCCUGGAACUCCCUUUUGGGGGAUAGCGAGCAGCUGCCUCAUUGCAUUCUCUUGGCUUUCCUCGACAUCUUGAACAUUUUCCCUUUCAAGUGAGAUUUGAUUUUUGCUUUGGUUUCGGGGGUCAUAUCCACAGACCCAUUAGUCAUCACCUGAAGCAACCUGCUCCCAGUGAAGUCUUGAUGAAGGACGGUGUAGGAUAUGCAGUAUCAGAAGAAAACAAGUCGAUUAUGAAGGUAGCAACAAUCGCAAGAAUAAUGUGCGCAGAGAGAUGAAGAGGUUUAAGUAGAAGGAAACAAGCAGUGAACACAAACCACGCAGUGAGAAAUCAUCAACUGUACCCCUUGAUAUGAACCGCCCAUGUAUGGACAGAUUCGCGUAAGCAGACGUACCAUAACUGAACUCUGAUCACAAAUGAAUUGAAGAAGACGAUCCAAGAUUUUGGGUAUCAGAAAAUCAUUGCAAAUCGGUUAAUUUUGCAUUUGGCAACAGAUUUACAGGUGCAAAGAGAGGAAUUGUACUCUGGCGUCCAGGAAUUAUUUGAAGGCAAUGUAGACCAGUCUUUUAUCAUCUGGUUUGUUGAAUAGGCUACAUCUAUGGUACCUUGUUUAAUUAUAAUGUUACUUAAUAAAUUAAAAUCAAAUAAAUUUCAAUAGUCAAAUUUUAUCCCCAGCUGCAAUAUUUUAAGUAAAAAUGUUCUUGUUCUGUACGUUACCGGAUGUAAUAACUUAUCUUGUAAUUUUCCAGGUUCAUAAUAUAAAAAAUAUUAUUUCUCUUGCUCGCAUUUUUCCAUGUAAUCCAUGUUUUUUCCAGGUUAUGCUGUUAUGCUAAUUAAUAAUGUGUCAAAUGUGUCAAUUAGCGGUGUGGUUGAUAAUCUUUUCCUUACCACAAUGAUGCCGUUGACACACAUUAAAAGUUCCCUUACAGAACUAUAUUCAUUAAAAAAGUAUAGAACUAUAUUACCGCCCUCAAAUUUGAGAAACAAGCACUUAUAACUUUUUUCUUUUAAAACUUCAUUGCAUGUGACUGAUACCAUGAAAUUCCUCGAAUUGAGCUCUAUC